GAGAAAUCAUUUUUGAUGAUUCUGAGAUAUUAGUGAGAGAAAUACAUAGGAUCGAUAUUAUCACCUUGUAUUUAGUGUAACUUUACAUAAGGAUUUGGUUAAAGGAAAGAAGAAUGGCUGGAGUCAAAGGAGAAAAUUUGAGAGGGUUAAUGCACAAUUUAAUAAUUUCUUCAAAACAAAGGGUUGCCUGGAAGAGAGGACAAUUUCUCUGUUCCUUCAGAAAGCAGAACUGUAGGAAAAGGGUUGGAGUGACUAAGUUAGUCAAAGAAAGACUGUUGAUUCUCAAAAGUUGUCAGCCCCUGGAAUGAGAUCUAACAAGGCAGGUUUGGGACUUUCUUGAUUCAGAGAUCUUUAGAAACAAGUUGGGAUUUUACCCGUCUGGAAAUGUUUUAGAUACGGGUCUGGAAGGUCCAACCUGGGAUUUGGUCAAUCUCAACUCUUUGCUGCUUCAGGUUAUUCUGCAAGGGAAUAACAAUGCUUAGCCAGCCCAGAAAGAAAACAUGAUAUAUUACCAGCUGUGAUUAGGGCUUAAUAACGCCUUGCUACUCUGGAGUCCAUGGAAAACUUUGGUAGGAACGGGAGUUUAAGGGGCAUGGAAUCCUUUGGCAGAUAGGAAGGACCUUUGUUGGUGGACUUUGGAGCAACGGUAAUCCUAAAGCAGAUUCUCGUUUCCCUCCACGGCCUCGCUCUGCCCCCUGUUGGCUGCAUCGCUCAUUGUACUCCCGUGUUCAAAAUUAUUUCCAGUGAGAACAGGAGUAGGUAGAAAGGGGAUAUCAGGAUUUCAUUCCCAGAACUACUUUUUCCAUGGAAAAUGAACCCGUUUCGGUAAAUCUUGGGCCCAUCCUCCCGCAAAGAGCAAGUGUCACACAUAUUCUGAUGUCAAAGGCUACGCCAGUCUGGGCGUUGGGCGGCAGACCAAAAUAUCAGAUGAGAGGUGUGGAAGUUAUCGGCAACUUAGGUGACAGGAGCCAAGGAGGGUCUACCCGCCAUGCGCACCCCAUUGUGGUUGCCCAGCGACUGCGGGGCGCUCAGAACGGGGGCGUUGCUCAGAAUGGUUCCAGGGACCCGGUUGGGCAGGUCAGUUUCUCUGCAGGAGGCUGCAGACGCCCGUCCUGGGACAUGGCCCCAGAAGCUCCAGGUAGACGCGAGGGUCACAGUUCGCGCCCUCUGGGUGGGUUCAAAGGGCGGGAUCUUUUGCUGUUUGCUCCUCCUCGGGACACCAGCCACCUCUGCCAGUGAAGGCGGCUCGGCUGUCUUUGCCAAGCCGGAGGGGCAGCGGCGAACUGCUGAGCCAGCCACUGUGGUCACGGGCCCCCUCCGCCAGGCCGACAGUCCCAGGCCGGGGGCGGCCGAGGAGCGCCCCGCCCCCGCCGCCGCGGCCCGGACCGAGACGCACACGCUCCUUAAUCCCCCGCCCCACGUUGCCCCGGCGACGGCCCAGACGAGCAGGGAGUUGAACUCACCAGAUGGAUUUCUAAGUGACAUACUAUGGAGCAAUGGGAGAAGAUGCACUCCUGCUGACUAUGUAUCAGAGGACCCUUAACAACAAGGAUGCAGUCUAAGGCCCUGAAGAAAAUAAACUGAAGACUGAUGCCAACUCAACAUGACUUCAUAUGCCACCUCUGGUAGUGUUUAUGGUCCGUGUCUCCCCAGUGUAUUUGGGUAAGUUCUGCUGAGCAAGAUGUUGGCAAUGUUUCUAAUGGACUGUCAGCAUUUGAUUACAGAUGCGCUUUGUUUGGCCUGCAUAGCAUUUACAAAUUAUUUCUGAAUUAUUACCAGUUUUUUAAAAAAAGAAAUCCAGAGAUCUUACUUAAAAAUCUAGGUUUCUGGGGCACUUGGUUGGCUCAAUCAGUUAAUGGUCUGACUCUUGAUUUUGGCUCUGAUCAUAAUCUCAGGUUCCUGGGAUUAAGCCCGGCAUCAGGCUCCGUGUUCAGUGGGGAGUCUGCUUGAGAUUCUCCCUCUGGCUAUCCCCCCACCCCCUUAAAAAAAUCUAGAUUUCCAUCAUAGUAAAACUGGAGUUAGUGAGGGUUGGGUGGGGCCUGUGUUUUUCUACCUCCUGCAUCUCCUGUGGAGUGAGGGGGCCUCAAUUUUAAUCCCACUUCUGCCACACACCAGCAGGAUUGUUUUGAGAAAGUUACCCUACUCUGAGUGUGUCAGUUUUCCAUAUUUGCAGGGUGGAGGAAAUAUUUGGCUUACAAAGUGAUGGUUCAGGUUCAUGGGUGUUAACUAAGGUAGAGAACAUGGACACAUCAACUAGUAGUUUCCUCUCUACCCUUUGUUAUUGUUCUUAUAUAAAAUCACUGCCAGCUGUUAUUUAGUCGUAGAAACAAGAUGUGCAGCACAAUUAUUUGACAGAACAUUCUGUAGUAAGUCAUAUCCUCUGCUUGGUUAUUUGCACAAUGAUCUGCAUGCUGUUUGAUUUGGGUUUAAUCUCAUGAUUAAAGCCUCUGCUGGUUGCUAGCCAUGCACCUUCUCACUAGCUUGUGAACUCAAGACCUGUUUCUUUUCAUGACCUCCCCUAGCCUAUCUUCAUCUGUCAUCUCUCUUCAUUAGACUGUAAGCUUACCUAGGCCCCCCUUAAUCCUCCAUUUUCAGAAUGUUGGGCAAAUCUUGGCAUCUAAUAGACAACUCAUUCAUAUUUGCUAAGUGACUGAUUUUAAGAGAUUGUUAUAUACAGAAUUAUAUAUUACCUAUAAUUAUCUAUAGUUAAAUAUAAAAUAUAUAAUUAAUAUAUUUAUAUUAUGUUCCAUAAUAUGAAUAUAAAACUAAACAUAUAAUUAUAAAAUUAAAAAUAUAUUAUGAGACAGAAACAGUGUAUGUAUAAUUUCCAAGGCAAUUUUCCUUUCAAAUAAUAUGAAAAAUUGUUUCUUUACUCCUUAAAGGAUCUGUUAUUUCUUAGUUCAUUUGUUCUUUCAUUUUCUUUUAAAACAUCAUUUGCAACAGAAGGAAAGCAUAUAGGACAGUGUCUGGCACAUAGAAGGAAUUUAUUUGCUCAUUCAACAAAUUGAUCUCCACUAUUGUAAUCACAAAGCAGUGUGAUUUGUUGAUUUGUUAAAAUAUAAAAAAUAAGAGGCACCUGGGUGGCCCAGUUGGUUAAGCGUCUGCCUUCAGCUCAGGUCAUGAUCCAGGAGUCCCAGGAAGGAGCCCGGCAUUGGGCUUCCUGCUCAGCAGGGAGUUUGCUCCCUCUGCCCUCAUCCUAUGAGUGCUCUCUCUCUCUCUCUCUCUCCCUCUUUCUCAAAUAAAUAAACAAAAUCUUUAAAAAAAAAAAGUAAGCAUAAAAAAUAAAAAUUCAGUGAUUAUCAAGACAUGCAUAGAAAGGUUGCACCAGGACCUACAAGGAACUGGCUGAAUGGAGGGCUGAUUUGAUUUCAGCAGGAAGAAGCCAUGAUGAAAUAAUCUAGCACACCAUUUACCAGACUGGAACACCCACCACAGGGUUUUCCAGGGAGAACUACCUUGUUUUCAGCCUGCUGAAGAUCUUGGGAGAUCUGCUGGCUUGCACAUCAGUAAGGUUCAGUGCUUGCAGAUGUCGUUGGUCCCAGAGCUGUCAUACCCGUGUGAUUGUGGCCCGGAAAGCAGAUAGGAGAUCAUCAGUUACUUCUCUCCUUACUUUUGCGAAGAAAUGGCAGUGAGUGUGCACAUGUGUUAUGGUUACUGGCUGGUGUGAUCUUGUAAGAAUCAGAUUUCACAAGAUGGAAUAGGGAGUAGGGUAAAGGUGUGAAUGCGGAGGAAAACGAGCGUGUUGUGAAAAUUUUAGCAGAAGUUGUAAAGGUUAUGAUACAGGUUCUUGAUUUUUAAGAGAGAAGAUUGUUUUGAACAAUUGCAUUUCCUUUCUAGUGGAAUGACAUUUCUCCCUUUCUCAACAGAAGGUUCUGUUUUUCUUUUUGUCAUUUGAGAACACAUUCCCUGAUUUCACAAUUACCCAUCUGAAAAUUGCAUGGGACCUGACACAUGAAAGACACUGUGGAGAACAUCCUGAAGGUGGGGUCUUCUUUGCACAGCCCCUACUUAGUACAGUUCAUUGUCGUGGCAGCUGAGGACUCUUCUGUGCUGAACUGUAAGGGUUCUUGUCUGAUCAGAGCUGUGCUGGGUGCUGCUCUAGACCUCAGAGGCUGUUGCUCUUGGGUGGCAGAUCCACGGAGUUGUCUGAGUUCAGAAAUGUAUGAAAAAUAGAGACAUAUGGAGACGGAAGAAGAGGUGACAAGUUUUGGGUAUGUGUGGAAAGCGUUUCUUGAAAUAGCAUGGUUUGACAUUAUUGCUCCACUUUCGCUUUUUCUUUUAAUAAUCAAAUUUCAGUUCAAAGGCUUUUACAUUUGGAGAAAAAAAUUUUUUUUUCAUUUCUGUAAAAUCGGGCCCAAAGCCUCGGAUUUGUAUUAACAUUAACAGCAGUAUAAAAACAAGACUGUCUCGCAAAAUGUAAAUUUCC
rnacentral:lncRNA from 1 species